rnacentral:lncRNA from 1 species
UCCGAACUCCUACGGGAGCCAGACCUCGUCUCCAGCCCCAACUGUGGGAAGACUCCGUCCGGGCUCCUGUGGGGGCCAGAUUUCAUCCCCGACUUCAAUUGAAAGAAGACUCCGUCCGGGCUCCUGCGAAAGUCGGACUCCAGGCUCCUCUCAGACGGAUAGUUAGCCACCUCUCUCCAGCUACAGACUUCAACCGAACU